CGGACGGGUGAAUAACACGUGGAUAACCUACCUAUAAGACUGGGAUAACUUCGGGAAACCGGAGCUAAUACCGGAUAAUAUUUUGAACCGCAUGGUUCAAAAGUAAAAGACGGUCUUGCUGUCACUUAUAGAUGGAUCCGCGCUGCAUUAGCUAGUUGGUAAGGUAACGGCUUACCAAGGCAACGAUGCAUAGCCGACCUGAGAGGGUGAUCGGCCACACUGGAACUGAGACACGGUCCAG
rnacentral:rRNA from 1 species